rnacentral:rRNA from 1 species
UACGAAGGGGGCUAGCGUUGCUCGGAAUGACUGGGCGUAAAGGGCGCGUAGGCGGUUUGUACAGUCAGAUGUGAAAAUUCCUGGGCUCAACCUGGGGGGCUGCAUUUGAUACGUGCGGACUUGAGUGAGGAAGAGGGUCGUGGAAUUCCCAGUGUAGAGGUGAAAUUCGUAGAUAUUGGGAAGAACACCGGUGGCGAAGGCGGCGACCUGGUCCUUGACUGACGCUGAGGCGCGAAAGCGUGGGGAGCAAACAGG